rnacentral:lncRNA from 1 species
GGGAUGGAUGUAGGUGGGGGUCAGGUAAGCCCUUUGGCGAGACGUAGCUUUGCUUUCCCUUCAAGGCGAAAUAUGGAGUCACAUAGCCGUUCAUUCACCCCCAUAAUCUAGGCUACGAGCUCAUGCCAAAAUUGACGAGGAGAUGUACGGAAUGAAGAUUUCCACAUAUCAUGUGUUAAGCACGAGUGGGAAUAAGCGCCUAGAAGAGAGCUUUCACUGGCUUUUUCUUACUAUGAGGAUGCAUGUAGAUAUAAGUCGUCUCUUGGCCAGGGCAUUGGCAGAGCAGCUUCAACACAUCAUCAGACUCUCCCUUUUUUGGCACUGGACCUAGUUUCCGCUCCAUGAGAACAUCUAUCGAUUCCGCUAUGGGGGCAUGCGCUAAGGUAAGGCUAAGACAGUCGCAAUGUUCAUUUACCUGUAAUACUAACAGGUUCGUCUGCUACUACUGCUGCUAUCCAUUUUCUUACAAUGCGGCUCUUCUUUCUAUAAGAAAUUCAUGUUCAUCCAGGCUCGUGUUACUCCAAAAGCAAAGG